rnacentral:lncRNA from 1 species
UUUUCCUCUUUUGCUGGAAACUGUGUAUGGUAAGUGUUUGGAUUGUUGGUACCAGUGUUGUACCAGUGUCUGUUUAUUACAGAGUUACAAGAACCAACCAGUGUAAAACCAUUCUUAGAAUAUCGUCCAAAGUUUUCAAGCUUGAUUAUUUUCUUUACAAAGGUUACAUGUCGAUGCAUAGUACUAAAUUUAUAGUAGAUUUUCGUCCAAUGUUGUAAGCCAGUAGAAAUGUUUUACGUUGAAUCUAAUUAAAUCUGUCUUUUACAUAAACAAAGGCAAGAUUUUUCUGAAAGCACCUGUACAAAC